rnacentral:rRNA from 1 species
AUUGAACGCUGGCGGCAGGCUUAACACAUGCAAGUCGAGCGGGGGAAGGUAGCUUGCUACCGGACCUAGCGGCGGACGGGUGAGUAAUGCUUAGGAAUCUGCCUAUUAGUGGGGGACAACAUCUCGAAAGGGAUGCUAAUACCGCAUACGUCCUACGGGAGAAAGCAGGGGAUCUUCGGACCUUGCGCUAAUAGAUGAGCCUAAGUCGGAUUAGCUAGUUGGUGGGGUAAAGGCCUACCAAGGCGACGAUCUGUAGCGGGUCUGAGAGGAUGAUCCGCCACACUGGGACUGAGACACGGCCCAGACUCCUACGGGAGGCAGCAGUGGGGAAUAUUGGACAAUGGGGGGAACCCUGAUCCAGCCAUGCCGCGUGUGUGAAGAAGGCCUUAUGGUUGUAAAGCACUUUAAGCGAGGAGGAGGCUACUUUAGUUAAUACCUAGAGAUAGUGGACGUUACUCGCAGAAUAAGCACCGGCUAACUCUGUGCCAGCAGCCGCGGUAAUACAGAGGGUGCGAGCGUUAAUCGGAUUUACUGGGCGUAAAGCGUGCGUAGGCGGCUUAUUAAGUCGGAUGUGAAAUCCCCGAGCUUAACUUGGGAAUUGCAUUCGAUACUGGUGAGCUAGAGUAUGGGAGAGGAUGGUAGAAUUCCAGGUGUAGCGGUGAAAUGCGUAGAGAUCUGGAGGAAUACCGAUGGCGAAAGCAGCCAUCUGGCCUAAUACUGACGCUGAGUACGAAAGCAUGGGGAGCAAACAGAUUAGAUACCCUGGU